CUGGCUGUGGGGUAGUGGUUGCCCGCUUGCUUUGGGAGCAAGUCUACGCAGGUUCGAAUCCUGUCAGCCAGAC
rnacentral:tRNA from 1 species